GACGAACGCUGGCGGCGUGCCUAAUACAUGCAAGUAGAACGCUGAAGGAAGGAGCUUGCUCUUUCCGGAUGAGUUGCGAACGGGUGAGUAACGCGUAGGUAACCUGCCUGGUAGCGGGGGAUAACUAUUGGAAACGAUAGCUAAUACCGCAUAACAGUAGAUAUCGCAUGAUAGCUGCUUGAAAGGUGCAAAUGCACUACUACCAGAUGGACCUGCGUUGUAUUAGCUAGUUGGUGAGGUAACGGCUCACCAAGGCAACGAUACAUAGCCGACCUGAGAGGGUGAUCGGCCACACUGGGACUGAGACACGGCCCAGACUCCUACGGGAGGCAGCAGUAGGGAAUCUUCGGCAAUGGACGGAAGUCUGACCGAGCAAUGCCGCGUGAGUGAAGAAGGUUUUCGGAUCGUAAAGCUCUGUUGUAAGAGAAGAACGAGUGUGAGAGUGGAAAGUUCACACUGUGACGGUAUCUUACCAGAAAGGGACGGCUAACUACGUGCCAGCCGCCGCGGUAA
rnacentral:rRNA from 1 species